UCGAGAAUCUUCGGCAAUGGGCGAAAGCCUGACCGAGCGAUGCCGCGUGCGGGAUGAAGGCCCUCGGGUUGUAAACCGCUGUCGUAGGGGAGGAAGGCUCUGUGAAGAACAGGGUUUGACCGAUCCUAGGAGGAAGUGGAGGCUAACCUCGUGCCAGCAGCCGCGGUAAGACGAGGUCCACAAACGUUAUUCGGAAUUACUGGGCUUAAAGCGUGCGUAGGCGGCCUAGCAAGUCAGGUGUGAAAGCCCUCGGCUCAACCGAGGAAUUGCGCCCGAAACUGCUGGGCUUGAGUGAGACAGAGGUGAGCGGAACUGAUGGUGGAGCGGUGAAAUGCGUUGAUAUCAUCAGGAACACCGGUGGCGAAGGCGGCUCACUGGGUCUCAACUGACGCUGAGGUACGAAAGCCAGGGUAGCGAACGG
rnacentral:rRNA from 1 species